GCCAGUGUAGGGAGGCUAACACUGGAGUAAUAUGAUCAAAUUUUUUGGUUCUAGUCAGGAUUCUAGCAGCCGUAUUUAGCACUAACUGAAGUUUAUUUAGUGCUUUAUCCGGGUAGCCGGAAAGUAGAGCAUUGCAGUAGUCCAGCCUAGAAGUAACAAAAGCAUGGAUUAAUUUUUCUGCGUCAUUUUUGGACAGAAAAUUUCUGAUUUUUGCAAUGUUACGUAGAUGGAAAAAAGCUAUCUAUCCCCUUCAUCCCUGGAUACUGGUUGAUCACAGUAUCCUGCAUUAUUGUAAAAAGAGAAACCUAUUUAGUGAUUCAAAUGCACUAAUUGAUAUAUUUUUGAUUAUAUGUUAUAUUGGAACCCUGUUGAGCAGAGGAGGGGUAGUUUGAUAUGUUAUAUUGGAACCCUGGUGAGCAGAGGAGGGGUAGUUUGAUAUGUUAUAUUGGAACCCUGGUGAGCAGAGGAGGGGUAGUUUGAUAUGUUAUAUUGGAACCCUGGUGAGCAGAGGAGGGGUAGUUUGAUAUGUUAUAUUGGAACCCUGGUGAGCAGAGGAGGGGUAGUUUGAUAUGUUAUAUUGGAACCCUGGUGAGCAGAGGAGGGGUAGUUUGAUAUGUUAUAUUGGAACCCUGGUGAGCAGAGGAGGGGUAGUUUGAUAUGUUAUAUUGGAACCCUGGUGAGCAGAGGGGUAGAAAAUAACCAUUGUGUAGCUCUUUUUGUCACAUAUUGUUUGCAUUUGUUUUCACAAAUUAUUGACUAUAUACUGCUUUGUGUGUCUCACUCAUCCAGCCCUUAAAAGAGCCUAAUAGGAUACUAAAGUAAUGACGUGUCAAUAUGACUGGCUUUGUGCAUUGAAAAGAUAGACUAGAAAAUGUUCCACAUUGAUAUAAUUUCGCCCUCUAUCCUAGUGUUGCCAAACAAAUGGGAAAUGCAGUAACCAUUGUCUUCAGGGCUGAGAAUGAGAUUGAAUAAUUUAUCUUGGAUGUGAUUAAUUUAGAUUAUUUGUCAUUGAUUUUUCAUUUACUGUUGUUUUUUGUUUGUUAUGGUCAACCAGAGAGUAGCUGGUGCUGGCUGGCUUGAAGUUGCCUCUUUAGUACAGAUAUAGGAUCAGCCUCCACUCCCCCAAAUUCCAACAUUAACCAUAAGUAGGGAUGUCAAAGCAGAUCCUAGAUCAGCGACAAGAGGUAACCUAGUUCUACUCCAACUGGCUCGGUCCAGAGAAGUGAAGUGUUGUUCGGAACAGGUCAGAGAAGUGUUGUUUAGGACAGGUUAGAGAAGUGAAGUGUUGUUCAGGACAGGUCAGAGAAGUGUUGUUUAGGACCGGUUAGAGAAGUGAAGUGUUGUUCAGGACAGGUCAGAGAAGUGUUGUUUAGAACAGGUUAGAGAAGUGAAGUGUUGUUCAAGACUGGUCAGAGAAGUGUUGUUUAGGACAGGUCAGAGAAGUGUUGUUUAGGACAGGUUAGAGAAGUGAAGUGUUGUUCAAGACUGGUCAGAGAAACAGGUAAAUAAUGUUCAUACACAUACGUUUGCAAACGUUCUGUUAUGUGAAAUGACUUGCAUCUCAGCUGUAUGUAAUCAAAUUGCUUUCCUUUUGUUUUGUGUGUUGCCUUAACUGUUGUCUUAAUCCUAUAAUAUUAACUAGAGCAAAUGUGUACUCAGACUAUAUAAAAAAUGCUUAAGAUAGUGAUCACCAUAUUAUACUUUAAGACUGACCAACUUUCAAUUAACAUCGACUAACUUUAACGCUGACCAUAUACCAAAUGGUAAAAGAUAGUAGCGAUCACCAUUGCCAUAUUAUUCUGUCACUUGAUGAUUAUCCAAGCUUCUGUGUUAAACAAUACAACUUUGUCUGCCUUAUGUACCAAAUGUUACUUUUGGUGACAAGUGUAAUUAAUUUGGAGAUAAAAUAUAUACACUCUA